GAUGAACGCUGGCGGCGUGCCUAAUACAUGCAAGUCGAGCGAACAGACGAGGAGCUUGCUCCUCUGACGUUAGCGGCGGACGGGUGAGUAACACGUGGAUAACCUACCUAUAAGACUGGGAUAACUUCGGGAAACCGGAGCUAAUACCGGAUAACAUGUUGAACCACAUGGUUCAACAGUGAAAGACGGUCUUGCUGUCACUUAUAGAUGGAUCCGCGCCGCAUUAGCUAGUUGGUAAGGUAACGGCUUACCAAGGCAACGAUGCGUAGCCGACCUGAGAGGGUGAUCGGCCACACUGGAACUGAGACACGGUCCAGACUCCUACGGGAGGCAGCAGUAGGGAAUCUUCCGCAAUGGGCGAAAGCCUGACGGAGCAACGCCGCGUGAGUGAAGAAGGUCUUCGGAUCGUAAAACUCUGUUAUUAGGGAAGAACAAAUGUGUAAGUAACUAUGCACGUCUUGACGGUACCUAAUCAGAAAGCCACGGCUAACUACGUG
rnacentral:rRNA from 1 species